AUUGAACGCUGGCGGCAGGCCUAACACAUGCAAGUCGAACGAGAGGCGGACGGGUGAGUAAUGUCUGGGAAACUGCCCGAUGGAGGGGGAUAACUACUGGAAACGGUAGCUAAUACCGCAUACCAUCGGAUGUGCCCAGAUGGGAUUAGCUAGUAGGUGUGGUAACGGCUUACCUAGUCGACGAUCCCUAGCUGAUCUGAGAGGAUGACCAGCCACACUGGAACUGAGACACGGUCCAGACUCCUACGGGAGGCAGCAGUGGGGAAUAUUGAACAAUGGGCGCAAGCCUGAUGCAGCCAUGCCGCGUGUAGGAAGAAGGCCUUCGGGUUGUAAAGUACUUUCAGCGAGGAGGCGUUGCUCGCAGAUGAAGCACCGGCUAACUCCGUGCCAGCAGCCGCGGUAAUUC
rnacentral:rRNA from 1 species